GACGUGGGCGUCAGCCUGAUCCAGCCAUGCCGCGUGUGUGAAGAAGGUCUUCGGAUUGUAAAGCACUUUAAGUUGGGAGGAAGGGCAUUAACCUAAUACUUUGGUGUUUUGACGUUACCGACAGAAUAAGCACCGGCUAACUCUGUGCCAGCAGCCGCGGUAA
rnacentral:rRNA from 1 species